UGGGGAAUUUUGGACAAUGGGGGAAACCCUGAUCCAGCAACGCUGCGUGAAGGACGAAGGUCUUCGGAUUGUAAACUUCUUUUGUUCGGGACGAAUGCCCGCAAGGGUUUGACGGUACCGGAUGAAUAAGCCACGGCUAACUACGUGCCAGCAGCCGCGGUAAGACGUAGGUGGCGAGCGUUAUUCGGAAUCACUAGGCGUAAAGCGCGUGUAGGCGGGUGCUUAAGUCUGCUGUGAAAUCUCCCGGCUCAACUGGGAGGGGUCAGCAGAUACUGGGCGUCUGGAGUGAGGCAGGGGGUACUGGAAUUCCCGGUGUAGCGGUGAAAUGCGUAGAUAUCGGGAGGAACAUCAAUGGCGAAGGCAGGUACCUGGGCCUUUACUGACGCUAAGACGCGAAAGCUAGGGGAGCAAACAGGAUUAGAUACCCGUGUAGUCC
rnacentral:rRNA from 1 species